rnacentral:rRNA from 1 species
CCUUAGAGUUUGAUCCUGGCUCAGGAUGAACGCUAGCUACAGGCUUAACACAUGCAAGUCGAGGGGCAGCAUGAACUUAGCUUGCUAAGUUUGAUGGCGACCGGCGCACGGGUGAGUAACACGUAUCCAACCUGCCGAUGACUCGGGGAUAGCCUUUCGAAAGAAAGAUUAAUACCCGAUGGCAUAGUUCUUCCGCAUGGUAGAACUAUUAAAGAACUUCGGUCAUCGAUGGGGAUGCGUUCCAUUAGGUUGUUGGCGGGGUAACGGCCCACCAAGCCUUCGAUGGAUAGGGGUUCUGAGAGGAAGGCCCCCCACAUUGGAACUGAGACACGGUCCAAACUCCUACGGGAGGCAGCAGUGAGGAAUAUUGGUCAAUGGACGAGAGUCUGAACCAGCCAAGUAGCGUGAAGGAUGGCUGCCCUAUGGGUUGUAAACUUCUUUUAUACGGGAAUAAAGUGAGGCACGUGUGCCUUUUUGUAUGUACCGUAUGAAUAAGGAUCGGCUAACUCCGUGCCAGCAGCCGCGGUAAUACGGAGGAUCCGAGCGUUAUCCGGAUUUAUUGGGUUUAAAGGGAGCGUAGGCGGACGCUUAAGUCAGUUGUGAAAGUUUGCGGCUCAACCGUAAAAUUGCAGUUGAUACUGGGUGUCUUGAGUACAGUAGAGGCAGGCGGAAUUCGUGGUGUAGCGGUGAAAUGCUUAGAUAUCACGAAGAACUCCGAUUGCGAAGGCAGCCUGCUGGACUGUAACUGACGCUGAUGCUCGAAAGUGUGGUAUCAAACAGGAUUAGAUACCCUGGUAGUCCACACAGUAAACGAUGAAUACUCGCUGUUUGCGAUAUACAGUAAGCGGCCAAGCGAAAGCGUUAAGUAUUCCACCUGGGGAGUACGCCGGCAACGGUGAAACUCAAAGGAAUUGACGGGGGCCCGCACAAGCGGAGGAACAUGUGGUUUAAUUCGAUGAUACGCGAGGAACCUUACCCGGGCUUGAAUUGCAACUGAAUGAUGUGGAGACAUGUCAGCCGCAAGGCAGUUGUGAAGGUGCUGCAUGGUUGUCGUCAGCUCGUGCCGUGAGGUGUCGGCUUAAGUGCCAUAACGAGCGCAACCCUUAUCGAUAGUUACCAUCAGGUUAUGCUGGGGACUCUGUCGAGACUGCCGUCGUAAGAUGUGAGGAAGGUGGGGAUGACGUCAAAUCAGCACGGCCCUUACGUCCGGGGCUACACACGAGUUACAAUGGGGGGUACAGAAGGCAGCUACACGGCGACGUGAUGCUAAUCCCGAAAGCCUCUCUCAGUUCGGAUUGGAGUCUGCAACCCGACUCCAUGAAGCUGGAUUCGCUAGUAAUCGCGCAUCAGCCACGGCGCGGUGAAUACGUUCCCGGGCCUUAAGUCACCGCCGGUCAAG